AGCAAAGUAUCCAAAUUCAGCUCAAGGGAAGAAAUUCUGCAAGGGGGGAAGAUAACACAGCCUGGGUAUUUGGCUUUCUGGUGGUCCAUUUAAAUGCAAGAAUCAAGCCUAGCAAUUCAACAGAUGCCUGAUGUGGUAGCUGGCAGGAGGCUUGGAUGAAGUCAUCAGCGAACUGUCCCACAAGAGCUGCAAUAGAAGUUUUGGUCUUAAGCAGACGGACUGGAUAUUGGGACCCCGGGACUGAAGAUGUUGGGAGACCAUAGCCAUCGCUUAACUACAGGUUUUAAUGAAAACUGUCUUCCGGGAAAAAGAGAGUCAGUCUUUAGAGGAAUUGGCAGAUUUUUUGAUGUUCCUGCGAUCUUCUGGUAUUUUCUGUCUUGGAUAAAACACUAGAGCUUUCCCGCCCACCCAAUCACGGGAACCAGAUGGCGAGGAACGAUCAGGUGCCUUCCUCCAUCCCAGCUUGUCCAUCCAGGCCAUGCCACGCUGACCUCCUAAAUAGCUCUCAGACUGUCUACCCCCUUCGCCCUCGGGAGCUCUUCACUUACUUUGUGCACUGGAAACCUUUGGCAGUGUGGUAAAGCCUCUGGGCUCCUUUUCAGAAUGAGACUUAAGUUCAUUAAA